rnacentral:lncRNA from 1 species
AAAGAAGAAGAGGGACGAUUUACCACGACAAAAGAGAAAUAAAGGGUUGUCGCCUAAACAAGAGGAUCGCACAUUCUUAGGGAAAAUAUUUGGAGGAUUCAUCGAAGAUGGUACCUGGGUUGUCAGCAGAACGAUUUGGGUGGCAAGAGGCAAAGAAAGCAAAGGGUGUAGGUGAUUUAAUUAGACAAAUGUAGCAACAAGCUGCAAUCCCCACUAUUUGCGGUGCCGAAAGUAGAGGAAUUCCCCAUGGCCGAAAGUAGAGGGAAUAGCGCGUCUGUUUGACUUACUAUGUGCAGCACGAACCGGCUGAAGAAGGUAAUUUGUGGAAAAAAAAAAUAAUGGUUACUUGUGGUUGAAAGAGUUGCUAUUCAUAAUUUGAUGAAACUAAAAACGAUUAUAUUUAUUGAUAAGAGUGUGCUGAGGUGAUAUAGGCAACAAAUUGUCAAUGUUUAAUUUUAUUGCAAGUAGCAGUGGAUUGAAGGAGGAAGAGGCGAGAAAUUUCUUGGAGAAGGCUGAAAACGAAAUGCAUGCUACUUCUUCAAUUUCUUCACCAAUUGCCAAAUAUCCUCUUGCUUAUUCUGCCCUGCACUUGUUACAAAGAAAUUAGACACCUGGAAAGCAUUCUCCUCUUCUCUAAUUCUUCCAUAAAAAAACAUAACCGACAAUCCUAACCUAAUUACCACAAUUAAAUCUUUCAAACAAAAUUUACAAUUUCUUAUCAGUAGUUACUUGCUGCGUCCGAUCGAACGGCUAAUGAACGGAUGAAACAUACUUCUUUCCAUCAUUUUUCUGAAUAAUUACAUUUGCCUAUUUCCUAGCGUUUUGGCUCCGCCCAAUGUCGGCCGCAGUUGGCUGCCACACCGAUAUAACCGUCUUCAAUUUCUCUGCUGCAAUUUCAAAUUUACUUCAACCUCAUACGACCGCACUUCAAUUGGAAAUUAAUUUCAUGAUCCGAUUUUACUAUGUCUAUAAAUGAUUUCAGGAUUUUUUGGGUUUUCGGAAUGAAUUUGACUAUCUCCUCUCAACACUGAUUCAAUCCCCUAUUUUUUAACAGUUUUGGGUUAUUUAAUUUUUUAUUAAAUUUACCCACAGUCUCCAUUUCCAAUCGACUACCUUACUUAUAUGGGGGACUCAUCUGAAUCGUUGGAUGGAAGCGCUCUCAAUCCUACGGUCAUUACGAAUGUGGACAAAAAUCGUGGUACGUUACAAC